GCUGGGCGUAGUGGCGCAUGCCUGUAAUCCCAGCUACUUGGGAGGCUGAGGUGGGAGAAUCGCUUGAACCCAGGAGACGGAGGUUGUAGUGAGCCAAGAUCACACCACUGCACUCCAGCCUGGGUGACACAGCGAGACCCCGUCUCAA
rfam:Homo sapiens chromosome 13, GRCh38 reference primary assembly.